AUUCCUGUAACCCAACAGACAUUAUAAACCUAGAGGGACAACUGCAAGUAAAUUCUGUUUAAGGGUAAUCUAAGAGACAUCACUGUUGAUGCAAGCACAUGUGUUCACCACUAGCAAGGGGCUGGCAGGAAAGAGUAAAGACAAAACAAAGUAUGUUUGUGACAGGGUGAUAUGGUCUGAAUGGAAACCUAGAGCCGUGGAACUCCUAGGGUAUGUACACUGCUCCGUGCAUAUUUUACAGCACUAAUUUGAAGUACUAGCAAGUGCUCUUAAACAUGACAGAAGUGCAGUGUUUGGUGGGGGUGGUGGGGGUGCUUCUGAACCUCCCUGCACUUUCCAGGCUAGGAGGCAGGGGGUGCUCUGCAGCCUUCUGGCCUUCUCCACUGAUCAGAAAUUUGACCAGCAUACAGAACUUAUCUGAAGUUGGGAAACUGCUGUAAAAUACAGCACUUCAAAUUUAAUACCUUGUUUAACAAAGGUUCAUUUAAAGCGCUGUACCCAUUUUUAUAGUGCCGUAAAGCCGUGCCCUUCUGUUAAGUCACGGCAAUAAAGUGCUUUAAAUGGUAAAAAAAACCCAACUUCUGUACACACUCCUAAAUUCUAAUCCCAGCUCUAUUGCUAUGUUGUUGUUUCUAUUUUGUUACACAGAAUAAUCAAAUUACAUGUCAUGAAAGUGACCAUGAUUUAGCAGUCAGUAUAAACCCGGACAAAUAAUACUUGGUGCAUUGUAAGUAAACCUGGGUGCUAAGAGAACAGAAUACCAGGUGCUACGAGAUGAUGUUUACAUCCUUUGGAUUUAAAGUGGGCUCUGUGAAACAGAGUAUAAAAUGGAAAUUAUGUCACAUUACCAAUGACACCAAUGCUAGAUUGAGGCGCUGAAAUGUAAACUUCUGCUUUGUGCAAAGGAAGUUCUAGAGCAGGGGUUCUCAAACUGUGGUACAUGUACCCCUGGGGGUACGCACGACAUCUUUUGGAGGGUACAUGGGAGAAAUUGUGUAAUGGCCGAUUUAAUUUUCAUUAUAAUAAUAAUUGCUAUUUAAGGGGUUAAAAUAUAAAACGUAUGCUGGUAGGGGUAUACAGGAAGCUGGUCAAUCUAACAGGAUAGUAGAAGCUCUGAUGGCAUUUCAAAACAUCUAAAAUCCCACCUGCAGUUUACAGCAUGUUCUUUUGAUUCUCAACCAAGCUCUCGCCCCUUUGAGGCUAUUUGUACCUGCCACUCCUGUUGUUUUGCAUUCCAGUUUCUGUUUAUUCCUUUUAAAAUGGUACCACCCCAUAUUUCACGCUUAAAAGCCAUGCAGUCUGGGCAAUGCCUGUCUUUCUAAAGCUAAGAUAGAAGGUCUGGUUGUUCAAAGCCUAUGCCUUCUAUGGUUGUGACUUAACAUUGGUUCAGGCCAUAUCAGUUUGAAAACAGUUGACUGGACAGACAAGAGACUCUUUUAUUUCCCAACCCAAUUUAGCUGGGGCCAUGGGUGAGUUGUACUCCAGUCUUCAGUUUCCAAAGACUAGUAAUUGAGCUUGCUUAGAUCUCCAGUGUCUCAUGACUUCACUUCAGCCACUGCUGCACAAAGCAAGAUCGUGGCAUUUCUGUUUAAUGACAUUCCCUCCACUGCAUCGACGAUUCAGGUUUGGCACCAAGUGCACUAAAGUAACAUAGUAGAUUCCCUACGUGAGUAGGAAGAGGCUUGGGAGAAACAGAGUUUUAUCUACAUUUAGAUAGCUUGUUCCUGCACCAAUUCAAGCCAAUAACCAAGACUCCCACGAAGUUCAGUGGGAACCAUAUUGAUACCAGGAUUUAUUUUACAGAUUCCCGUAUAUUAUUUAUAUGGCAGAUUCGGUCUUAAUAAGUGCUGUGUGCCUCAGCUGUCAGUGGCCCUGAUCUGCUUUUAUGGAAAAAAGAGCAAGCCCAGUGAAUCUUGAAUUCUUUUCUGCACAGCAACAAAGCUUCAAAAGGCUGGAUGGAAGGGGCCUCCACCCACAAUAGGCUGGUGGUCGGACAGUCUCCUAGUGGGGCCGCAUGAGUCCUUUGUUGGAACUAGCCCUGUAUCAAUAAGUCUUCCCCUAAUAAAGCCAAAGAUCACGUCAAAACAAUUGGCUACCUGAAUGCAUCGAUUUCUGCAGCUUGCGGAAUGCUUCUGUCAACAAUAAAGCAGUUGCUGACUCGAUUUCCGUUCCAGUGGCCCAAGCCAAAGUUUAUUAGCCUCUGUCAAGGACUAAUGGUCACUUAAGAGUUUAAAAAACUAGAACAGGGGAGUUAUCGGGCAAUGACAAUAAAGCUGUUGUAUGUUGUGCUCUCAGAAGUAACAGUGCUGAUUUUUCCUGCACAAACAGAACUUUACUAAUUGGUAAUCUGAUGAAAAUCAUGAAGAAAAGCUGCAAAGUAUGGCAUUAUUUCUGGUAGCUUGUAGCAAGUUUGAAGAUAUUAGCAAGGAAAUUUCUCACCAAUCACGGGGAUAUCAUAAAAGAAGCAACUCUUGAAGAAGGACUUGGAGAAGGAUGUACUGGAUUUGCCUGACCAAUUUCAUCUGUGGUAAUAAGAGUACCUGCUAUUCUGAAUGUAUGUAAUACAUUUGCAUCAAGGAAAUUGCUUUUCUCAUUUUCUCUUUUCUGUAUGCAAGUGUCGUGUUAAAAGCAGAGACCAUAUUAAUUUGACAUUAACCUCAUCACUGUCUUUGGCUCCACUUAAAACAUCUUUAGUAAUAGCAGCAGCUUUGACUAAUGAAGCUAAGAACACGUUUCCUUUCUAUUUUUUAAUAUAUAUUCCAUUUAUUUCUUGAAGACAAUGAAAAUAGACAGGUUAGUUUCAUUGCUAUUUCUCAUCACUGACUUAGGUGCUGCCAAAAUGAUACAGAGUUGCAGUGGGUUGUUUCAACCCAAGCAAUUAAUUUUUUACAUUAAAAAACAAGCAUGCCCAGAUCAUGAACUUUUUCUGUGAAAAUCUGGCCAUAUAAAAUAUUUUUGAAAAUAAAAGACCUAAUUUUGGGACACAGACUUAUCUAAUUGAUUCUGCCCUUGCAUCUAUUCUUGUCUUUUCUAUUGAGAUGCUUAUACUGCUCUUACCCCUCUAGUAUCUACAUGCCAUCCAAUAGCACAUUAACCAACAUAACUAACAUCUGUCAUGAGUGUUUCAUUCUCAUUCUCUCACUCUCUUCACUGGGGGAAUCCUGAGGAUUCACUUAAAUGGGCCUUAACUCAGCGUGACCCAGAACGUUGCACUUUGACUGUUUUAAAAAAUGUUUUAAAGAUAUUCAUGUCAUUUUCUUGGUACCACAAUGAACAAUAAAGGCAAUACUUACAAUAGUAAAGUGUAUUAAAUAACUACACGUAAAAAGUCACCUUUGGACAUAAUCAUCAUCAGAAAUCUGAAUGCAUUUGAUGUUGCUGAAUGCAAGCUAUUGUAACAACUAAAGGAAAAAAAAAUCAGGCAGAUAUUUUGAAUCCUAUGUUAAAAUUAUUGAAUCUCAACAGAACUGUGAUUGGCCACAAUUAAGUCUAUGCUUUAAAAAUUAUACUCUUGAUGUUUCAGCACAAAAGUUUCAGAGCAUCACUGGAAGUCUGGGAAAUAUUUGCUGUCUUCUCCUUUGCUGUAGAGAAUUCCAGGAUGCCGUUUACAAAGAUUUUGUGGGGUUUGGUCUUACAACACUUAUUCAUUUGUACUCUUUGCAGGAGAAAAGAUCGGGCCCUUGCCUAGCAACAUAACUUUCUCUUUUCAAUUCUUAUCAUACUAGAGUCAUAAUAUUUUGUUAAGGUGCAAUAAUGAUAAAAUUAUCAUUACUGCCAGCUCUUAUUUUGUGCUUUUGAUAUCUGUUUCUUUUAUCAAUCAGUUAGCGGGGGAUUAAAGCUGACUGUGCUGCACUGGCAAUUUUUGAUUUCUUAUUAUUGAUUCCCUCAGGCUGGUCUUUUAAACUUUUCAAUACAAAAAUAUAAAACACAAUCCAUGAUGUGGAUCAGCAUAGUACACACACAAAUAAGUAUAUACAGCUGUAUCCUAGCCAGGGCUGUUUACUGCAUCUUCCAUUUACUUUCAAAAUUAUUGCAGUUACUUUCCCUACAACAUGAGCCUUUGCUAUUAAAUUCACAGGUCCGUGCUAAUUGCAGACAACUGAGGAAGUAAGCAAACCACGAUGUUCAGAAGUAAAAAGGUGCAAACAUGCCAUUUAAAGACAAUCCAGCUCAGUGCCAUGCACUGCAGUUUGAUUGACUCCCCCUGCAUCACAUCCUGCGAUUCACUGUAUGAAGGACACUAUAUAAAAAUUAAUGGUAGAUUAGAUGGCACAGAAGAGUGAAGAGCUCCAGCUGCCUGCCUUCCUGGUAGCCUCUCUCAGGAAGGCAGAAGCAGCUCUAAAGCUAUUAUGUCCCUGCUUCAUCACCCUUGUUACAAUCUCUCCACCCCCCUUGUCCCCCAAAGUCCUCUAUACGCAACAGAAAGAGAACCUGGAAAAGAACCUCCACGUUUCACCCUACCCCCUCAUCCCCAGCCUUUUCUCCAAAAUGGGGAUGAAAGAGGGAAAUAAAUCAGCUAAACAAAUCUCUGUAGGACACAGUUUUUGUUUUGUACUGCCCCCACAAUAAACCCCAAAUUCCUCUGCAGUCUAUAACAGUGUUGCAGUACAUAUAUCCUGGAGCCUUGGCUAAGCAGACACUGUAACAGGUCAUUCUGGCUCACCAACCAUUUUAAUUUUUUGGAAACUACUUUCCAGCCCCACCUCCCUAAUUUUUAGAGCAGCCCUUCUGUUUCCACAUGCAUUUGUUAUAUCCUGCAAUUUGUUAUGCCCACUUUUCCUCUAUAUCCCAUUAAAUAUGUGCAUUAUGCAACCUGCAAGAAGGAAGUUAAGAAUGGAUGGGACCAAAACCUGCAAACAAACCAAAAACAAGCAACCAAAAAUCUCAUCCUAGCAGUGUACAAGAAUUUAAAAAAAAUCCUUAUGCCGCUCUUCUUUAAACAGAUCGAGUGGUUCAUCCGCUGCUACACUGUACUCCUUCCCCUCAUUUUAUUGCUUGAGGGUAAUUCUUUGGAAGUACAUGAUGAUCACCACCUUACAAUUUGGUUCCACAGGCACUGGCUGUCAAAAGCAGCAGCUUUCUACUUUUUUUUUUUUUUUAAAGAAAUAUGAUGCCCAUCUUCUGUCAUAAAGGCUCUGAUUUUUCUGGGGUGCUAUGAGGUUGGGUUUUUUUUCGUUUGGUAGCAUAACAAUAGCUACUUUCAAGUCAGUGUACAUUAUCCAUACCAUAAAAAGAAGAAAAAGCUUCAUGUAACUGAUGCUGCACAAAAGAAAACAUACCUG